GCCUGUUCCAAAAAUGUUUUCUCACGUGUGUGUUUAUUUUGUUUUCUCCCUCCCCUUUCCAGCUUUUAACUGAUGAAAUCUCAGUUCAGCUGAGAAGAAUACGAAGGAGCUGCUCCUUCAUAUAAGGCACAACGUUUGCACCCUCUUGCGCACCGAGAUCUCUGCCUCCUCCACCAUGCUGUUGUCCUGAAAAUACAAAUCAUAACUUGGAGAAACACUGAAAUUCAGGAGAGGUGCAUUCUCUGAAACAGGUAGCUUCUUGUCACUAUUUAUCAUUGUUGUUUAUUUAGUGUCAGAUAUAAUUUAAAUGAUUGAAAGCAUGGCAAAAGUUAUUAACUGACUGCUUCACUUGUAAAUAUUUUGGGAACUGCCACCUCCAUACAUGAGAUCACAAAGUCUUUUUGAGCUGUAUAUCAGAAUGGAACAAUUUGAC
rnacentral:lncRNA from 1 species